rfam:Danio rerio chromosome 11, GRCz11 reference primary assembly.
UCCAGCUGAUGCGUGGUUUAGGUAGUUUGAUGUUGUUGGGGUUGACUUCCUGGCUCGACAACAAGAAACUGCCUUGAUUACGUCAGUUUGC